rnacentral:rRNA from 1 species
AUUGAACGCUGGCGGCAGGCCUAACACAUGCAAGUCGAACGGCAGCACAGAAGAGCUUGCUCUUUGGGUGGCGAGUGGCGGACGGGUGAGUAAUGUCUGGGAAACUGCCCGAUGGAGGGGGAUAACUACUGGAAACGGUAGCUAAUACCGCAUAACGUCGCGAGACCAAAGUGGGGGACCUUCGGGCCUCACACCAUCGGAUGUGCCCAGAUGGGAUUAGCUAGUAGGUGGGGUAAUGGCUCACCUAGGCGACGAUCCCUAGCUGGUCUGAGAGGAUGACCAGCCGCACUGGAACAGAGACACGGUCCAGACUCCUACGGGAGGCAGCAGUGGGGAAUAUUGCACAAUGGGCGCAAGCCUGAUGCAGCCAUGCCGCGUGUAUGAAGAAGGCCUUCGGGUUGUAAAGUACUUUCAGCGGGGAGGAAGGCGGUGAGGUUAAUAACCUCGCCGAUUGACGUUACCCGCAGAAGAAGCACCGGCUAACUCCGUGCCAGCAGCCGCCGUAA